rnacentral:rRNA from 1 species
UGGGGAAUAUUGCACAAUGGGCGCAAGCCUGAUGCAGCCAUGCCGCGUGUGUGAAGAAGGCCUUCGGGUUGUAAAGCACUUUCAGCGAGGAGGAAGGGUAGUGUGUUAAUAGCACAUUGCAUUGACGUUACUCGCAGAAGAAGCACCGGCUAACUCCGUGCCAGCAGCCGCGGUAAUACGGAGGGUGCAAGCGUUAAUCGGAAUUACUGGGCGUAAAGCGCACGCAGGCGGUUUGUUAAGUCAGAUGUGAAAUCCCCGGGCUUAACGUGGGAACUGCAUUUGAAACUGGCAAGCUAGAGUCUUGUAGAGGGGGGUAGAAUUCCAGGUGUAGCGGUGAAAUGCGUAGAGAUCUGGAGGAAUACCGGUGGCGAAGGCGGCCCCCUGGACAAAGACUGACGCUCAGGUGCGAAAGCGUGGGGAGCAAACA